rnacentral:rRNA from 1 species
AUACGGAGGGUGCAAGCGUUGUUCGGAAUCACUGGGCGUAAAGGGCGCGCAGGCGGUUUGGUAAGUCAGAUGUGAAAGCCCAUGACUCAACCAUGGAAGUGCAUUUGAAACUGUCAGACUUGAGUACUAGAGGGGAAAGUGGAAUUCCCGGUGUAGAGGUGAAAUUCGUAGAUAUUGGGAGGAAUACCGGUUGCGAAGGCGACUUUCUGGCUAGAUACUGACGCUGAGGCGCGAAAGCGUGGGGAGCAAACAGGAUUAGAAACCCUAGUAGUCC